ensembl:lncRNA
ACGAGGGGGAAGUUGGAGGAAGAGGGAGAAGUUGGAGGAUGAGGGAGAAGUUGGAGGAAGAGGGAGAAGUUGGAGGAUGAGGGAGAAGUUGGAGGAUGAGGGAGAAGUUGGAGGACGACGAGGGAGAAGUUGGAGGAAAACGAGGGAGAAGUUGGAGGACGAGGGAGGAGAAGAUGGAGGAUGAGGGAGAAGUUUGAGGAUGAGGGAGAAGUUGGAGGACAAGGGUGAAGUUGGAGGAGGGUGAGUGAGAAGUUGGAGGAGGAUGAGUGAGAAGUUGGAGGAGGAAGAGUUAGAAGUUGGAGGAGGAAGAGGGAGAAGUUGGAGGAGGAAGAGGGAGUA